CUAUCAGCUGAUGUGCCGGUUUAUUGCCCAUUAAGCAACUGAUUAUUGCCGUUUGCUUUUAUUUUAUGAAAAAUGGAAUCUUUAUACACUUACCGUUAUAGCUUUCUGGCAGGUGCCUUUGCUGCCGGCGGAAGCUUCUUUGGCAAAAUGCCCAGCUACCUCAAAUCUUUGGAUUUUCUUCCGGCAUCAAUUGAUUUCAUUGUGCUGCAACUUCUACCACUUGGCCUAAUGCUGUUCUGUAAUGUCUGCAAUUUAAGAUAUUUCCUCAAAGCCCUUCAAAUGACACCACAAACUCUGACGGCGACCGUUUUGACUGCUGCUUCCAAUUAUGUUAUGUCUUUUAUUUUAGGUAUCGUUGUGUAUAACGAACCACUGAGUCCUUUGUCGGCCAUAGGAAUCACUUUUAUACUGGCGGGUCUCUGGUUUCUUUGCGACGACUCAGAUUCCACGGACAAAAAUGAAGGAUUGGAGAAGAAAGCUCUUUAAUGGUAUUUCACAUAAAUGUGUGUCAAACUAAUGUGAUAUUUAUAUGUAUAUUAGUAAAUUGUUAAGUACUAAAUGAACCGACUCUCUCUUAGAACAGCCUCAUUACCUGUGCAGACAUUAUGAUAGGAUAUCUGGGAUACUCUUGGAUACAUUAUAGUGCCUUAAGACCUGGUCGGAUGCAUCUUUCUUAUGGGUUUAUAAUCUGUCUCUGACAUAUCAUAACAUUUCGUUGUCAAAUGUAUUCAAUAGAAUGUUGACAUCGAUUUAUUCUUUGAAACUUUCCGAUUGAUUUCAUCCAAUAAUCUUUUUAACUGCCUUGCAAAUGCCGCAAUUUCCAUUCUAAAUUGUUUAGAAAAAUGUAACAAAUUUCUAUAAUAGGGAAAAUUUU